GUACGCUGCGAUAAGCCUUGGGGAGCUGCGAACGAGCUUUGAUCCAAGGAUCUCCGAAUGGGGAAACCCCCCUUCGAUCCUUUGUCUUGUGACGGCAUCAGCGAUGGUGGUGUUGCAAGACGGAGGGUCAGAUGAAGGGAUUAGGCCCUGAAUAGAUAGGGGUUUAAGGCGAACCCGGGGAACUGAAACAUCUAAGUACCCGGAGGAAAGGACAUCAAACGAGACUCCGUUAGUAGUGGCGAGCGAACGCGGACCAGGCCAAUGCCAACCUGAUCGUCAUCGGAACCGUCUGGAAAGGCGGGCAUCACCGGGUGACAGCCCCGUACGAAGCAGCGUGAUGGUUGGAUUUGAGUAGGGCGGGACACGUGCAAUCCUGUCUGAACAUGGGGGGACCACCCUCCAAGCCUAAGUACUCCUCAGCGACCGAUAGU
rnacentral:rRNA from 5 species